GUAGGUGGCAAGCGUUGUCCGGAAUUAUUGGGCGUAAAGCGCGCGCAGGGCGGUUCUUUAAGUCUGAUGUGAAAGCCCACGGCUCAACCGUGGAGGGUCAUUGGAAACUGGAGAACUUGAGUACAGAAGAGGAAAGCGGAAUUCCACGUGUAGCGGUGAAAUGCGUAGAGAUGUGGAGGAACACCAGUGGCGAAGGCGGCUUUCUGGUCUGUAACUGACGCUGAGGCGCGAAAGCGUGGGGAGCAAACAGGAUUAGAUACCCUGGUAGUCCACGCCGUAAACGAUGAGUGCUAAGUGUUAGGGGGUUUCCGCCCCUUAGUGCCGCAGCUAACGCAUUAAGCACUCCGCCUGGGGAGUACGGCCGCAAGGCUG
rnacentral:rRNA from 1 species